AUUGAACGCUGGCGGCAGGCCUAACACAUGCAGGUCGAGCGGAUGAAGGGAGCUUGCUCCUGGAUUCAGCGGCGGACGGGUGAGUAAUGCCUAGGAAUCUGCCUGGUAGUGGGGGAUAACGUCCGGAAACGGGCGCUAAUACCGCAUACAUCCUGAGGGAGAAAGUGGGGGAUCUUCGGACCUCACGCUAUCAGAUGAGCCUAGGUCGGAUUAGCUAGUUGGUGGGGUAAAGGCCUACCAAGGCGACGAUCCGUAACUGGUCUGAGAGGAUGAUCAGUCACACUGGAACUGAGACACGGUCCAGACUCCUACGGGAGGCAGCAGUGGGGAAUAUUGGACAAUGGGCGAAAGCCUGAUCCAGCCAUACCGCGUGUGUGAAGAAGGUCUUCGGAUUGUAAAGCACUUUAAGUUGGGAGGAAGGGCAGUAAGUUAAUACCUUGCUGUUUUGACGUUACCAACAGAAUAAGCACCGGCUAACUUCGUG
rnacentral:rRNA from 1 species